CACAGGUUCGGCUGAGAAGUCCAGAAGGCGCAGUAAGUCAGAGGGGGAGCUCUCUGAUGCCAAGGACGUUCUGGCUGGCCCUAGUGGGUCAGAGGGGGUUCCUGAAGUAGUGCUGCGCCGUUCAACACGGACGACCAAGGGGAAACCUCCUGAAAGGUUUGCCGUCACUAGUGUGUGGGUCGGAAUGGCACAGUGUGAACCCGAGAGUUUUGAGGAUGUUCAGAAACUGCCUCAGGAAGAAGCCAGGAAAUGGCAUGAGGCGAUGCAGAAGGAGAUGAACUCAAUGGAGUCUCUAGGUGUGUUCUCCCUCACGAAGUUGCCAGUGGGUGAAAAGGCAGUGGGUAGUCGCUGGGUUUACCGUCUUAAGCCCACAGCGGCAGGAGAACCGCAGUAUAAGGCCAGAUUAGUGGCGAGAGGAUUCACGCAGCGCAGGGGGUUGCAUUAUACGGAGAGUUAUGCGCCCACGUGUAGGAGUGAAUCUCUACGCUUGGUCUUGGCCAUCGCUGCACAAAGAGGUUUGCUGGUGCAUCACUUUGAUGUGGAUGUUGCUUACUUGAACUCAGACCUCCAGGAGGAUCUGUACAUGCUUCCUCCUCCUGGGUUUGAGGGCAAUGAGCGAGGUACUGUGUGGAAACUUCACAAGUCAAUUUACGGCCUGAAGCAGUCGGCCAGGAAUUGGAACUUGUGCCUGAAUGAAGCUUUGGAGAAGCUAGGUUUCAGGAAGAGUCUUGCUGACAGUUGCCUGUUCCUUAGAGGAUCAGGAGACUCACAGGAACUGGUGUUGUUUUACGUUGAUGACAUCAUCCAUGUUGGAAAGGCAGACAAACAGGUGCAGAAGUUUGCCAAAGAGCUUGGGAAACGGUUUCAGCUCAAGAACCUGGGUGCAGUAAAGAUCUACCUAGGCGUCCAGAUAGCGAGAACUGAGGAUGGUAGCUUCUUGCUCAGUCAGAAAGGCAAGAUUGAGCAGUUGCUGGAGAAGUUCAGAAUGUCCGAUUGUGCAGGAGUUCGGACACCCAUGGAGACGAACUUCGUGAAAGAUAGCC